GUAUCACUGUAGGACAGGAGAAGGCCGAGCUGUAUGUAUCACGUGAAGGACAGGAGAAGGCCGGGCUGUAUGUGUCACUUGUAGGACAGGAGAAGGCCGGGCUGUAUGUGUCACUUGUAGGACAGGAGAAGGCCGGGCUGUAUGUAUCAUGUGUAGGACAGGAGAAGGCCGGGCUGUAUGUAUCACAUGAAGGACAGGAGAAGGCCCAGCUGUAUGUAUCACGUGAAGGACAGGAGAAGGCCGGGCUGUAUGUGUCACUUGUAGGACAGGAGAAGGCCCAGCUGUAUGUAUCACGUGAAGGACAGGAGAAGGCCGGGCUGUAUGUGUCACUUGUAGGACAGGAGGAGGCCGGGCUGUAUGUAUCACGUGUAGGACAGGGGAAGGCCGGGCUGUAUGUAUCAC